rnacentral:rRNA from 1 species
GACGAACGCUGGCGGCGUGCUUAACACAUGCAAGUCGAACGGUAAGGCCCUUCGGGGUACACGAGUGGCGAACGGGUGAGUAACACGUGGGUGAUCUGCCCUGCACUUCGGGAUAAGCCUGGGAAACUGGGUCUAAUACCGGAUAGGACCACUGCCUGCCUGGGUGGUGGUGGAAAGCUUUUGCGGUGUGGGAUGGGCCCGCGGCCUAUCAGCUUGUUGGUGGGGUGAUGGCCUACCAAGGGGACGACGGGUAGCCGGCCUGAGAGGGUGACCGGCCACACUGGGACUGAGAUACGGCCCAGACUCCUACGGGAGGCAGCAGUGGGGAAUAUUGCACAAUGGGCGCAAGCCUGAUGCAGCGACGCCGCGUGAGGGAUGACGGCCUUCGGGUUGUAAACCUCUUUCAGCACCGACGAAGCGCAAGUGACGGUAGGUGCAGAAGAAGGGCCGGCCAACUACGUGCCAGCAGCCGCGGUAAAAC